rnacentral:rRNA from 1 species
UGGGGAAUAUUGCACAAUGGGCGCAAGCCUGAUGCAGCCAUGCCGCGUGUAUGAAGAAGGCCUUCGGGUUGUAAAGUACUUUCAGUCGGGAGGAAGGUGGUAAGGUUAAUAACCUUAUCAAUUGACGUUACCGACAGAAGAAGCACCGGCUAACUCCGUGCCAGCAGCCGCGGUAAUACGGAGGGUGCAAGCGUUAAUCGGAAUUACUGGGCGUAAAGUGCACGCAGGCGGUUGAUUGAGUCAGAUGUGAAAUCCCCGGGCUUAACCCGGGAAUUGCAUCUGAUACUGGUCAGCUAGAGUCUUGUAGAGGGGGGUAGAAUUCAAUGUGUAGCGGUGAAAUGCGUAGAGAUGUGGAGGAAUACCGGUGGCGAAGGCGGCCCCCUGGACAAAGACUGACGCUCAGGUGCGAAAGCGUGGGGAGCAAACAGG